AUACGGAGGAUCCGAGCGUUAUCCGGAUUUAUUGGGUUUAAAGGGAGCGUAGGUGGGAUAUUAAGACAGCUGUGAAAGUUUGGGGCUCAACCUUAAAAUUGCAGUUGAUACUGGUUUCCUUGAGUACGGUACAGGUGGGCGGAAUUCGUGGUGUAGCGGUGAAAUGCUUAGAUAUCACGAAGAACUCCGAUUGAGAAGGCAGCUCACUAGACUGUUACUGACACUGAUGCUCGAAAGUGUGGGUAUCAAACAGGAUUAGAUACCCUGGUAGUCCACACAGUAAACGAUGAAUACUCGCUGUUUGCGAUAUACAGUAAGCGGCCAAGCGAAAGCAUUAAGUAUUCCACCUGGGGAGUACGCCGGCAACGGUGAAACUUAAAGGAAUUGACGGG
rnacentral:rRNA from 1 species